rnacentral:rRNA from 1 species
GAACGCUGGCGGCGUGCCUAAUACCUGCCAGUCGAGCGAACAGACGAGGAGCUUGCUCCUCUGACGUUAGCGGCGGACGGGUGAGUAACACGUGGAUAACCUACCUAUAAGACUGGGAUAACUUCGGGAAACCGGAGCUAAUACCGGAUAAUAUAUUGAACCGCAUGGUUCAAUAGUGAAAGACGGUUUUGCUGUCACUUAUAGAUGGAUCCGCGCCGCAUUAGCUAGUUGGUAAGGUAACGGCUUACCAAGGCAACGAUGCGUAGCCGACCUGAGAGGGUGAUCGGCCACACUGGAACUGAGACACGGUCCAGACUCCUACGGGAGGCAGCAGUAGGGAAUCUUCCGCAAUGGGCGAAAGCCUGACGGAGCAACGCCGCGUGAGUGAUGAAGGUCUUCGGAUCGUAAAACUCUGUUAUUAGGGAAGAACAAAUGUGUAAGUAACUAUGCACGUCUUGACGGUACCUAAUCAGAAAGCCACGGCUAACUACGUG